rnacentral:rRNA from 1 species
GACGAACGCUGGCGGCGUGCUUAACACAUGCAAGUCGAACGGAAAGGCCCUGCUUGCAGGGUACUCGAGUGGCGAACGGGUGAGUAACAAGCGGGUGAUCUGCCCUGCACUUCGGGAUAAGCUUGUGCAACUGGGUCUAAUACCGGAUAGGUCCGCACUUUAGUGUGUGUGGUGGAAAGUUUUUUCGGUGUAGGAUGAGCUCGCGGCCUAUCAGCUUGUUGGUGGGGUAAUGGCCUACCAAGGCGGCGACGGGUAGCCGGCCUGAGAGGGUGUACGGCCACAUUGGGACUGAGAGACGGGCCAGACUCCUACGGGAGGCAGCAGUGGGGAAUAUCGGACAAUGGGCGCAAGCCUGAGGCAGCGAGGUCGCGGGAGGGAUGAAGGCCGUCGGGUUGUAAACUCCUUUCGCUAGGGACGAAGCCUUGUCGUGACGGUACCUAGAUAAGAAGCACCGGCUAACUACGUG